AUAAGAUAAAUAUAUUCGUCGAGGCGUUUAAUUAAUAGAGUGCAUAACUUUAAACCCUUCCUUAUACACCUAAUCAAGUAUUAAAACAUCGAUAAUUGAACACUUGUCCUGCCCAGCUCGUGUUUGAUACAUUGUAGGCCAAAGAUUUGCAGAUACAAUAGGAAAGGAAAACCAUCUCUUUUAUCAUCAAUUUUGGUAUAGGGCUUGUAGUUGAUUAUAUAAAUUUCAAGAUAUAAACACACAACGUACAAUUCACAACAGGUGUACAAUAUGAAAUUGAAAAGUCAUAUGUUUGGCUUUUGAAUUGUUAUAAAACAAUGACCAUAGUAGCUGUGAAAAAAUAAUUAUAUAACAAAACCAAGCAGGAAAGAAGGAUACAUAACCAUUAUCAACCCUGAGUGUACAUGUUAAAGAGUAAUUAUAACUAUUUGUGUAUUUAUAUUGAUUGCAUCGUGAUACUCUUGCUAUUAAACGAUUGAGAAUAUAGCCUUAUAUACUUGUUGAUUAACAUGAGCUUACAUAGAGAUACGUAGAACACACACACACAUAUAUUAUAUAUAUAGGUAACUUAAUUUAAUAAUUAACAUAUGUUUCUAUUUUGUUCUUGUAAAAAUCCUACAAAAAUGGAUGAGCUUGAAAGGAUAUAUGCUUUGCAAAGUUGCGACCAAAAGAACAGUAGCUACCAACCAGAUAUAUUGUAUGUAUGUCUGGACAAAAUAAUGUUUUUGAUAGGUUUAGAUGAAAACAGUUGACCAAUACAAUUGAAAUCCGUAAAAAAACGACAUAGCGGAAAGUGUUAUCAAGUUGGCUUCCAUGUUUUUCCUUGAUUCAUACUUUCUAAAUUUUAUAAUGAUACAUUGUAUAAUUCAGAACUAGUUGUUUACAUAUAUCAGUAUAUGAUGAGUAUAUGGACCAAACAACAUAUCUUUUGAUAAACAGUUAGUACAGUUGGUAUUUAUUUGUCCACAAUUGUGCUCCAGAGUUGUCAUAUGUUUUCCUGUUUAUCAAGUGCAAUCAUUAAAAGAAAACAUAAUCCAGUAGAAUAUUAGAUCGACACCAUAUUUUUGUCAAAACUAUAAUAUCUUAUCAAAAACAAAGUCAGUUGUUACGUGAUUUCUAACCACUUUCAAUCACCGGCAA
rnacentral:lncRNA from 1 species